rnacentral:rRNA from 1 species
UACAGAGGGUGCAAGCGUUGUUCGGAAUUAUUGGGCGUAAAGGGCGCGUAGGCGGUGCUAUAAGUCUGUGGUGAAAGCCCUUGGCUUAACCGAGGAAGUGCAUCCGAAACUGGCGAGCUAGAGUACGAAAGAGGAUCGCGGAAUUCCCGGUGUAGAGGUGAAAUUCGUAGAUAUCGGGAGGAACACCGGUGGCGAAGGCGGCGAUCUGGGUCGAUACUGACGCUGAGGUGCGAAAGCGUGGGGAGCAAACAGG